rnacentral:misc_RNA from 1 species
GUAAUAUUCCCUCUUAGUUUUUUUAGUUGAAUAGUUAUGAUUGUUGGAGUGGGCAAAACAUAGCCUGAUUUGAUGAACCUGGCAAAGUAAAUGGCUUUUAGGAAGCCAAGUUUUGAUGUUGACCUGACAAUAACAUUUGAAAUUGGUCCAAAUUGACCUGACUUAAACCAUACACAAUAUGUUUAAACUUUAAAGGAAUAGGGUAUUCUGAAUUGGAUUUGCUUGAUAUAAGUGAGUGUAGGUCUGUACUUUGUUGUCCCAAUGAAAGCUGACACCCUAAUCCAGCACAUAUCAUAAAUGAGUUGGGUUUGGUACAAGGGAGAUUUUUAGUCGAGUAGAAUUUGGCUCUUAUUCUCAAUUGCUUCUUAUUUCUUAAUUAAGCUUUAGGUGUGGAAUUAAGGUAUAGUGUGGUUUCUCUGGUGUUGUCAGAGAUGGUACCUGUAAUCUGUCAGAGCAGUAUGGUAGAAAAAAAUGGUUGAAAUGAUGUUUCAUUUUUUCCAGUUUUCUAUUCGUGCGGAAUUCCCCCUCCUCUCUUCUCUGAAAACAGCCCAAGGUUUCCACAAUUUGACAGCCCUAGCUUUUUGACUCUUUUCUUUGUGCAGAUUAUUGAACAGCAAUACCAACUUAUCAUAUUUAGAACUUUAGCAUAUAGACUUAGUAUUUCUGUGAAGAUAUAAUCCAAAUAAACCAACAUUUGGUAGAUUAUUUACUUUUGGGUCUUGCCUGAAAAUUA